UUAAACGGCCGCGGUACUCUAACCGUGCGAAGGUAGCGUAAUCACUUGUCUACUAAAUAUAGACCAGUAUGAAUGGCACCACGAGGGUUACGCUGUCUCCCGACUUAAGUCAGUUAAACUGAUCUCCCCGUGAAGAAGCGGGGAUAUUACUAUAAGACGAGAAGACCCCAUGGAGCUUUAAACUAAAAUCAACUGCUAAGCUACAUACCUAUAAAAUACAGCAGUAGUGACUAAAGUUUUCGGUUGGGGCGACCGCGGAGUAUAAUAAAACCUCCCCGAUGAAUGAACAUAAAUUCUUACCCAAGGGNCACACCCCAAAGGAGCACAAUUGUGACAUCCAUUGACCC
rnacentral:rRNA from 1 species